GACGUAGGGGGGCUAGCGUUGUUCGGAAUUACUGGGCGUAAAGCGCGUGUAGGCGGUUAUCCAAGUCGGGUGUGAAAGCCUUGAGCUCAACUCAAGAAAUGCACUCGGUACUGGGUGACUAGAGGACCGGAGAGGAUAGUGGAAUUCCCAGUGUAGUGGUGAAAUACGUAGAGAUUGGGAAGAACACCAGUGGCGAAGGCGGCUAUCUGGACGGUUUCUGACGCUAAGACGCGAAAGCGUGGGGAGCAACAGG
rnacentral:rRNA from 1 species